rnacentral:rRNA from 1 species
CCAGGGAAACUUGGGCUAAUACCGGAUGUGUGUAGUGGCUAUUUUUCUGAUUAUCAUUAUUUACGUAAGUGAGUAAUAAUAAGAAGGGAAAGUGGUUAUUACAUAAAAGGUGGCGUAACUGCCGCUUGGGGAUGAGCCUGCGUCCUAUUAGUUAGUUGGUGAGGUAACGGCUUACCAAGGCGAUGAUAGGUAGGCGGCCUUAACGGGUGGUCGCCCACACUGGGAUUGAGAUACGGCCCAGACUCCUACGGGAGGCAGCAGUCGAGAAUAGUCUACAAUGGACGGAAGUCUGAUAGUGCGACGCCGCGUGAACGAAGAAUCCCUUCGGGGUGUAAAGUUCUUUUAUACGUGAGCAGUGUCCUUUAUAUUAAUAGUAUAAGGGGAGAGAUAUUAGCGUAUGAAUAAGCAACGGCUAACUCCGUGCCAGCAGCCGCGGUAACACGGGGGGUUGCGAGCGUUGUCCGGAAUUACUAGGCGUAAAGUGCAGGUAGGCGGAUAAAUAAGUUUAAGGUUAAAGGCUACGGCUUACCCGUAGUAAGGCGUUAGAUACUGUUUAUCUGGAAUGCGGUUGAGGGAGACAGAAUUCCUGGUGUAGCGGUGGAAUGCGCAGAGAUCAGGAGGAAUACCGAAGGCGAAGGCAGUCUUCUAAGCCGAUAUUGACGCUAAACUGCGAAGGUGUGGGGAUCAAACAGGAUUAGAUACCCUGGUAGUCCACACAGUAAACGAUAAUCACUAGGUGUUGGGUUCUUAAGAGGAUUCAGUGCCGGAGCUAACGCGAUAAGUGAUUCGCCUGGGGAGUACGAUCGCAAGGUUGAAACUCAAAGGAAUUGACGGGGGCCCGCACAAGCAGUGGAGUAUGUGGUUUAAUUCGAAGCAACGCGAAGAACCUUACCAGGGCUUGACAUGCAGGUGAAUAAUGUAGAGAUACAUUAGUCUUCGGGACGCCUGUGCAGGUGGUGCAUGGUUGUCGUCAGCUCGUGUCGUGAGAUGUUGGGUUAAGUCCCGCAACGAGCGCAACCCCUGUUGUUAGUUGCCAUCAUUAAGUUGGGCACUCUAACGAGACUGCCGGUGACAAAUCGGAGGAAGGUGGGGACGACGUCAAAUCAUCAUGCCCCUUAUGUCCUGGGCUACACACGUACUACAAUGGCUAUAACAGCAGGGAGCUAAGGCGCAAGCCGGAGCGAAUCCUCAAAAAUAGUCCCAGUUCGGAUUGUGGGCUGCAACCCGCCCACAUGAAGUCGGAAUUGCUAGUAAUGGCAGGUCAGCAUACUGCCGUGAAUACGUUCCCGGGCC